UCUGGCAUCCACCCAAGAUCAUUCAGUGUAAAUACCGACGAUUCCAGUCCCCAGGAAGUAGUUUCCAAAAAGCAACAGACCAUCAUUUACUUCCUUUUUCUCUCCCUAAAACCCAAACAUCUUCCACAAUUGACCUUCAAUCUGGUUCUCUCCUUCUAUACGGCCCAUCAUCCACCGCGUCUCGCUCAGGCAGUCCCCCGAGAAGGUAAGUCCGUGUCCCAUUUCUUAUGGCUUCUCUGGCUAAUUCGUGAGCCAUUAUAUUUGUUGAUCUAGGUAUAUGUUUGAAUGAAAUCUGAUGGAAGAAUCAUUUUUGACGUUGUAUGUUUUUUUAUUAACGCCCCUAUCUUUGAUCUGUCCACGCUAUCUGACUAACUUUUCUUUAUUAUUGAAACUGAAUCCCCUUCAAUAGCAACUAAUGAAAAUCCUUUUCGUUUCCCCAACAAAAUUGCUUGGAGACAUGUAUGUGCCUCUGCUGCGAACGAAGAAGCAACUCCCCUGUGUACCAUUGUUUUAGAGGCAAGAAUCUCUCCAGAAGAAUUUCUCGCUACCACCUUUGAGGCCGAUAAGGCCUGUGCCUCAUCAAAGGCCGCAUCAAAAUUUACUUUAAUGUCGGACCCAUUCGGGGGACACCAUUCAAUAGCUACGGUUUCUUUGGUCAGUUUACUAUUCUCACACUCGUCAAUUUCCUUGGCAUAUCUUGAAACCCAUGUAUCAAUAUCACGGCCCCUACUUCUCUUCCCCUCAAAUAACCCCUUAUUUCUAUCGGUCCAAAUCGUCCACAAGGAGUAGCAGAAUAAGCGACACUGCGACCCAGUAUAGUUUUUGAAUACCCAGGACAGUCACGUACCAGGUGGUCAACAUUCUCAGCAACCCCUCCACAUCUUGGGCAUGCAGUCUCCGUCACCAGUCUUUUAAUGGAUAAAUUAGCUAGAUUAAGGAUGAAAUUCCAGGAAACUUUCCAAAUGAAAAUCUUAAGCUAAAAUAUUGCUGUUCCAUAGGUUUUUUUGUAGAAGCUUUUCAUUUCGGUUUGUAAAUAAGUAGGAUUAGUAUUACCCUUAUGUAAUAGUUUGUAGGCACUUCGCACCGAAAAUUCCCCUUAAGAUUCUCCCCCCCACACCAUCAUAUCCUCGUGUGCUUCCAUGGCCAAGGGGAUUUUCAAAAUUCUAUCUGCAUCGUCCCUUGAGAAGUCCCCGAAAGCCAAGCAUCAAUCAAAAUUGAAAUUUUCUCCCCAGUUUCAACCCUUCAAUACAAUCCGCUCUUCAACAAGCCCUUAGCAGCCCACACAUUCCAGGUAAACGAAGGUAGAUUUCCUAACUCAGCGUUUAAAAAAUCAGUAUUCAGAAAAUACUUGGCUUCUAGGACUCGCGACAAUAAUGAAUUUGGACGAUUAAUAAUGUGCCACCCUUGCUUUGCUAAUCGUGCAACAUUAAACUUGGUCAGGCUACGAAAUCCUAAUCCCCCAUUUUCCUUUAAUUAACAAAGUCGAUCCCACCCACACCAAUGAAUCUCCUACUAUGACCUUUUUGCCACAAGAAACAAGCUAUUAUAUUUUCUAAAUCACCGCAUAAAGAUUUUGGCAACAAGAAACAUGCCAUAGAAUAAGUCAGAAUAGCUUGAAGAACCGCCUUUAUAAAGACCUCUUUUCCCCCUUGCGAGAGAAGUCAGACAUUCCAAUUCUCAAUCCUUUGCCUCAUGCGAUCUUUUAAAAUCUAAAAAGAAGCUUUCUUAUUUUUUCCCACUACAUUUGGCAAUCCAAGAUAACGUUCCAUAUUAUUCGAAUGUCUACCCCAAGAAUAUAAAAAAAUAGCUUCUCGUAUCACUGUAGAAGUUUUAUAACUAUAAAAAAUAAUGGAUUUUUCGUAAUUCACACAUUGCCCCGAGCAAUUCUUGUAUUCUCUCAAAAUUAACUUCAAAAUUGUCUCACCCCUCUCACUUGCUUCACCGAACAAUAUGCAAUCAUCAGUAAAUAAUAAGUGUGAAAUCGGAGGACUAUUUCUACUAACUAUAGCACCCUUAAUCAAACCUUCCCUCAGAGCGAGCCUCAUAAGCAAUGAGAGACUCUCUUUGCAUUUCAAAAAUAGAAAAGGACUAAGAGGAUCACCUUGUCGAAGACUUGUUGUCGGUUUAAAUUUUGCCCCUGUUUUCCCGUUCACAAUAACAGAAUAAGAGAGUUAAAAUACAUUUCAUAAUAAUCUCAACCCACGAAAUAUGGAACCCCAUUUGUAGCAUCAUUACUUCAAUAAAAGACCAUUCAACUCUAUCAUAGGCCUUACUCAUGUCCAACUUUAGUGCCAUAAACCCUUUCUUUCCUACUUUCUUUUGUCGAAAUAUAUGCAAGAUCUCAUAAGCAAGAAGAACAUUAUCUGAAAUAAGUUUGCCUGGAACAAAGGCGUUUUGAGUGCUAUCAAUGCAGUCUUCUAGUACGUGUUUGAACUGAUUUACAGUCAUCUUCGCUAUCAAUUUAUAUAAAACAUUACAUAUCAAUUUAUAUAAAACAUUACAUAGACUGAUUGGUCUAAAAUUACCAAGGUUCAUCGGAUGAGAUAUUUUUGGAAUUAACACAAUAUUCGUGACAUUAAUAAAAUCUAUAGUCAUACCUUCGUUCAAGACGCCCAGAUAGAAGUCGAUAAUAUCCACUUCAACAAUAUGCCAACAUUGUUGGAAAAAUAGAGCCGAAAAUCCAUCAUCCUUAGAAGCCUUUGUAGGUCCCAUAUCCUUUAGUGCAAUCACAACUUCAUUUUUUGUGAAUUUUGCAAUUAGCUUAGAAUUUGCCUCCUCAGAAAUAUAUCUAUCAAUUCCCGAAAGGAUGUGAUCAAAAUUUCCACACCCCUUUAAUUCGAAAAGCUUAUGAAAGUAACUUUGAGCAAUAUUCUCCAUAUCCCCCUCAUCACUUAUCUCUCUCUCAUCUUCGUAUGUUAAACUUCGAAUAGUAUUCCUUUUUUUUCCUUUGUGAGGCAUAACUAUGGAAAAAAGCCGUGUUUUUGUCUCCCAGUUUUAACUAAUUAGCUCGGUCCCUUUGCUCCCAAUACAUCCUCUCCUUAUCAAUUUCAAGGUUUAAAUGGAUAUUUACAUCAAUUAAUUCUACUAAAUUCUCAUUCGUUCUUUCUCUUCCCAUUAGAAUUUUCAAAUUUGCUGUCAAUUCCUUCUUAUGACUCUCUCUUUUGUGUUUCACUGAGUGUGCCCAUCUUACCAAACCUUGUUGCAACUCAUUCAAUUUUUGCAUAAUGUCGCUACUAGUGGACCUCCAUAAUCUUCUAACCUCUUCUUCAAAGGAAUCCUCUUUAAUCCAUCAUGACUCAAAACGGGCUUUCUUUCUAGGAAAGUUGUUCAUUUUUGUGUCUGCUUGAAUAAAAAGGGGACAAUGAUCUGAAAAAGAAUGCGGCAAAUGUUGAAUUUCUGCAAACGAAAACAAAUGAAGCCAUUCCAUAUUCGCAACUCCUCUAUCCAAUCUUUCAUGAAUAUUCGUCUCUGGCGGAUUACCUCUUUCCCAAGUGAACCACGAUCCUUUAUACCUAACAUCAAGCAACUGAUAGUCCACUAAAUCAUCCCUAAAAGCUAUCAUUCUCCUUUUAUCUUUUGGUACACACCUCCCAUUUUAUCAAAAGAAUAUAGAAUUUCAUUGAAAUUGCCAUAUACCAUCCAUGGUAAACUCUGUGUGUGACUCAAAUUCCUCAGCAAGUUUCUCGAAACCUCUCUAUUAUGCGCAUAUGGUGAGCCAUAAAAUCCAGUAAAUCUUCACAAUUUUUCAUUAUUAUUAUCUUGAAUUUCAACAUUGAUAUGAGAGUUAGAAUAGCUUUUGAAGCUAAUUGCAAUGGCACAAUUUACCCCUUGAACCAACUGAUGCAACAUCAAUCCUAUUCAAAUACCCACAUCUUCUUACACCUUCCAUUCACAUUCUAUCAAUUUUAAUCUCUAUAAAGAAAACCAUUUGGGGAUUGUACAUCUUCAGCAAAUGUCAAAGUCUUCUAACUAUCCGUUGACUCCCCAAUCCACGGACAUUCCAACUUAUGAUUUUUAUUGUGACCGGUAGGCUUGCCCCUUGGCAGCCGUCGAUAUCAAAAGAUUUUUUUCCAGUCCUCUCCUGUUUCUAAGAACUAGAGAGCCUGUUUCCUCCCCUAUCAAAGAUCUAUCAUCCUCUCUUCUAGGCCUCUUUUUACCAUUUCCCUCUUCAAUAACACCAUCUUCUCCAUCAUGCUCUAUAUUUGUCUGUUUGUGUAUUUUAGAAGAUCCUAACUCCACAUUCAAAACCAAUUCAAAUUCCUCUCCAAAUUAACCCUCCAAAAUGGGGUCAACAAAAUUCUUGGAACAUCCUUUAUUUGUAAGUUCCCAAUUGCCUCUCCCUAAUUCACGCCCUUCGAUUGAACUCCCUCAUUGGAUUUCUCCACCAUCAUCUCGUAGCCACACACUAUUCAUUGCGAGAGCUCUUCUAGAUUGAGCUCAUAUUGACAAAUUCCAUCCCAUCUCAGUGACUUCAAAUCCUAGCUCUAUCGUAGAAUGGCAAAAAGAAUCAUUAUGCCCUAACCGUCCACAAAAGAAACAAAAUAAAGUCAAUCGUUCAUAUCUAAAGCUGACAUAAGAGCAAAAUCCUGACGAAAAUAAAAUUUUCUUUCUCUUAAGAGGUUUUCUCACAUCCAACUUAACCUCUAUUCUCAAAUAAUGUCGUACUCCCUUCCCCAUAUUUGAACCAUCAUACUCUAUAAAUUUUCCAAUAAAAUCCCCAACCUGCCUUACCAACGCUUCAGAAAAAAACCCUAGGGGAACUUCAUGAAUUUGUACCCAAAAAUUCACAUAGAUUAAUGGAACUUUCAACGAGUCCUCUCCAUCCAUCAACUGAUGUGGUAUUAGCAGAUGAUUAUUAAAAGUCCACGGGGAUCCCUUAAGUACCCUCUCCAGAUCCAUUCUGUGGAAAAGUCUAAAUAAAAAUCUUUUCUCCCCUAGAUCCGAUAUCUGAACCCCUUUUAUUUGAUGCCACAGAUUUGUCAUUAUACUACUCAUCGCAGGAAAGUGAAUAAUAUUUACUGUUAAAAAACACCCAGUUAAACACAAAUACUCCUCUACUGGAUCCGAAUCAGAUUCCUUCUGGAUGUGUAUAAUUUCCUCUUCCUCGUCAUUUAAAGACAAGCAGCCAAAUCUUUUUCCAUUUAAUCAAAUCAAUCACUAAAAUGGCAAUUGGCAAUGAUAAAAGUAGAACCUUUGAUAAAAAUAAUGUCGUAGAAUCCUUCAACGAAACCAUAAAAACCAAAAAAUUAAUCUAAGAGAACAAUAACU